UACGAAGGGGGCUAGCGUUGCUCGGAAUCACUGGGCGUAAAGGGUGCGUAGGCGGGUCUUUAAGUCAGGGGUGAAAUGCCAGGGCUCAACCUUGGAACUGCCUUUGAUACUGGAGACCUUGAGUCCGGGAGAGGUGAGUGGAAUUGCGAGUGUAGAGGUGAAAUUCGUAGAUAUUCGCAAGAACACCAGUGGCGAAGGCGGCUCACUGGCCCGGAACUGACGCUGAGACGCGAAAGCGUGGGGAGCAAACAGG
rnacentral:rRNA from 1 species